rnacentral:tRNA from 1 species
UAUAUUUUAGUGUAAUAGCACAGUAAUUUUUGAAGUUAUUAGAUUUUAAUAAAAUUAAAAAAAUAUAA